UUUUUUUUUUUUUGGCUUAUGUUACCUUACUAUUUUUCCUAUCUCCUUGUUAUUAAUAGCAAAACAUAAUAUGUUCCUUUUAGAAAUGUUUGACUCUCUUAUUUGCUUAGAAAUAAAAUUCAGUGAGUGAUCAAUGUGCACCAUGAUUCAGAAAAACAAAUGCAAAUUUCCAUACAUUAACUCUACACCUAAUAGCUUGCAAUAUUUUAUAUAAAACAUUCAUUUUGGUUUCCCAUUCUUAAAGAUAGUUUUUGCUAUAGGUGGCAUCUCUGUGAAUGCAGAGCUCUAACUUAAAACUGCCAAAGCAACAAAAGAUAAUAUAUUGGGACUUUAUAAGCUAAGAAACAUAAAUAUGGGGGGAAAAAGCAUAGCUUAUGUAGAUUGCUGCUGGGUUAAAUGAAUGUGAAUUCACACUAAAAUUGUCAAUCAGCUACAUAUCUCUCACCAAAUCAUUCUUUUUAGUCGUGCAUAAUUUUUAAGGCCUCCAGCUACUAUGAUGCCUUGUGUUCAAUAUGUUUCCUUCCCUCUGUAACUGAUGAUCACAGUUUUUUUAGACAAGUUUCCUAAAUCUGUGAUAAAAGUUAAUUUAUUUCCUAAAAGACUGCAAAUGGUGCCUCGUAUAUUGAACCAAACAAAUGAUACACCAUCCUGCUUGGAAAUUAAACACCUAAAAUAUCUGUGGUGAUUUAGCAUAGUGCCAGAGUGUAAUUUAUUUAACGUAACAGUUUAGGUUUCAAUUGAGCUACAUUUAUUAGAAUCUGGGCACAGUAAUAUGUUACUGUUUUUCCUACUUUCAGCAAAUGCCAAAAUUAUAAACUCCAAAAUAGAUGGUGAAGUACAUUGUUAGUGAUAUCUGAUUGGGCUAACAUUUCCCUGAAUUUAGCCCUGAGUUAUUGCUUAGACUACAGUUGAAUUGCUAAGAAUUCUCCUGCAAAGCAUUAUCAAGAGAAAAUGUGAUUUAAUAAUUUAAUUAUGAAUAUAGUCAUCAAAUAUGACUUUUAACCUAACAGGAGUCUUUAAAGAAGGUAAAAACCAAAACAAAAUUAUAGCCAUCUGAAGAUAAGGGAUUGCAUUUGAUACCAUUUUAAUAAUUUUAUACUGCCUGUCAUAAUUUAUUUCCUAAUGAAAAAAAAAUAGAUGAAGGCAUUCAUUGUGUGCCGGUAAAUGCUCAACAACUGCCUUUCCAGGAAUUAAAAUUGCUAGUUCAUAGCAUUUGCCAGUUUCUAUGGUGUAAAUACUCCCACUGUGGACAGUUUCAAGCUACUAACACCAUGUUAAGAAUCUGCAGUCAGGAAGAGACCCAUAGUAGCACAAUAUUGUAUUCUGUUUUCACUGUAAAGAUGCAAUAGACCUAAACAGACUCAAGAGUCCUGAUAAAUAGUAUAAGGUAGUAAAAUAAUUGGGAAGUGGUAUGUUUUGAUUAUUACCUUUGUUUUCAAUGUAUUCCAUUGUGUUUUAUAAUUUCAUAUUUUAUAAUGGUUACAUUUAACAACUAGCUUACAAAAUUUUGGAUACUUUAAUUACCAACUUUUAUGCAUCAGAACGAGCUAGUUCCAGCCCACCAGUGGUAGUGUGUCUCUUGGUACACUAUCAACUUUUACAUAGGGAGACGUUUGAUUUGCUUGGGAAGAAAGGCAUUACUUUAUACAAAUCAGUUUCUCUUUGCUUUUUUACCUCUUAUUUUAUGUAAAAUGCCAUACAUAGUUGAAGGAUAAAAAGGAAGUAUCCUCUAUCCAAAUGCUAGCUUUUAAGCCUUCAGAGUUUUUCAGAAGAGGGGUUAGUCUUAUAAAAUAAGGGCUGGAGGCUGGGUCUGUGGAGCUCUGCCCUGAUUGGGCAGUUUGUUAUUUAGUACAGUUUAUCACCUGGAUCAAAUGGUUUCUUGACUCAUUGAAUUAUGAGGCUGACCAAACUAUGUUCAGGGAUUGUUUUGGCAGAGUAUAGACAAACCUCAAGGCAAUACUUAAAAGAAAAAAGCAAUGAUAUGAAAUGUAAAUGAAUGGUUUCCUUGUCUUUAAAUAUGUUUUUCCUAGGGCUCAGUAAAUAACUAAUCCAGAAUUGAUAUCUGCAUUUAAUAUCAAAGGGGAACAUAUUAUUUUUGAGCAAAAAAAG
ensembl:lncRNA